rnacentral:rRNA from 1 species
UACGUAGGGUGCGAGCGUUGUCCGGAAUUAUUGGGCGUAAAGGGCUCGUAGGCGGUUUGUCACGUCGGGAGUGAAAACUCGGGGCUUAACCCCGAGCCUGCUUCCGAUACGGGCAGACUAGAGGUAUGCAGGGGAGAACGGAAUUCCUGGUGUAGCGGUGAAAUGCGCAGAUAUCAGGAGGAACACCGGUGGCGAAGGCGGUUCUCUGGGCCUGUACUGACGCUGAGGAGCGAAAGCGUGGGGAGCAAACAGG